GACAGAGGAUGCAAGCGUUAUCCGGAAUGAUUGGGCGUAAAGCGUCUGUAGGUGGCUUUUUAAGUCCGCCGUCAAAUCCCAGGGCUCAACCCUGGACAGGCGGUGGAAACUACCAAGCUGGAGUCCGGAAGAGGCGAGUGGAAUUCCUGGUGUAGCGGUGAAAUGCGCAGAUAUCAGGAGGAACACCAAUGGCGAAGGCAGCUCGCUGGGGCGGUACUGACGCUGAGACGCGAAAGCGUGGGGAGCAAACAGG
rnacentral:rRNA from 1 species